GAUGAAAAUAUGAAGGUGGAUCUUCCUAUUGAACAGAUGGAAGUAAAAGAAGUUGAGGAGGAACAAAACUCCUACAAAGACUUCAAAAACCAUCAAAAUGCAGCUUUUUCAACAAGGUCAUCCCCUUCCAGAACCAAUAAGAUCUCAGAAUAUACCUCAAGUAUGAAAGAGUCAAGAGACCUCCAACCCAACAGCCAUGGAGAGAGCAGGGACCAGUCAUUAGAUCAACAAGAACCAAAAUUCUCCAGCUUAGACUCACUGUUUCAAAGUGCGCUUCACACAAGGUCAACCAUAAUCAACCCCAGACGAUAGCACAGGCUGCAAGCGGCUCUCCUAGGCUUUCAAGGCCUCUGCAGUAG
ensembl:lncRNA